AGCAAUAGAGGACCGCAAUAGAGCAGCGCCGUGGGUUAAUACAAAAGGGCCUAGAAGGUUUAAUAGAAACCUUCGAAGGUAGAUGGGCCUACAACUCAGUGGAUGGGCUUAAAAGCGGCAGUUAACGGUAGCUCCCAUUGGUAAACUCGUGCCAUGAAACGCGCUCCUGGGAGGAUGACUGCUAACGUUUGACUGGCUUCGAAAAACUUUUUCUGCAGUUUACCAUCUGCUUUCAUCCUCUGUUCGAUCUUAUGUUAGAGCAGGCAUCUGUCCAAAUUCUUCAAUUUACGAGUUCACUUUUCUCUUGGACCGGAACUUUUUGUCGCUUGCAUAAUUUCAAGGUGUUUCUUUGUGAAGCGGACGAGAAUGAACACAACGGUAGACCAAGGUAAGUGAAAUGCAAGAUUAAAAGAGUUUUUCUUUUCUCUUCCCUUCACUAGCAACCAAGGUCACAUGAAAUUAAUUCUGCCUAAGGUUAGGCGAAGAAGUUAAAAUCGAACAUUCAGGAAUUGUUUUAGCUAUCACU